CUCCCACCAGUACCGCUGGACAUCCGAAUGGCUGUUGAGAAACAUUGGGCUGGGAUGCACUUUGAAAAGAGGCAGCGACUCAUCCAGUGGUUGUUUCACGACCUCUGCUCAUAUGGAAUGAUUCUUGGAGGGAAUCGUUGCGCUUCAAGGCGAAGUAUGAAAGGAGAAAGAUAAAGAUACAGUGUGGGGAAAUUGUGCCUAUCAAAAGGACUCACACAAGUAAAUUGACCAGUGGCGAGACAACGGCAAAAAGAAUGAGAAGACCUACUGCUGUUGUUGAAGUGUGGGAUGGCGAAGAUGAGAGCAGCAUCAGAAGCCACUUCACUUCCAUGAAAAAGGAGCUUCUGAAACCAAAGGCUAACUUUUCAUAUGUCACAGAUUGCAUGUUACGGACAUUCAGAACUCGACGGGACUGGAUUGAAAAGGAGUGCCCAUCAAUCCAGGCUAUCACGGAUGAAUAUCGAGCUCUGAAAUUAAGUGCCAUG